CAUACCUUUUGUCUCUACUGAUUUGAGCCCUUUAUUCUAUAUAAUUUUCAAGUAAAUCAGGCCUUGCCUACUGUAAGAGAUGGAUUUAUUUUCUAAAAACCUGAACCACAAUAUCCAAGCAUACUCGAAAUUAAAUAAAAAAAAAAAGUGAUUAAAAGGGGACUGAUGGUAUCAAGUCCAGUUUGAACGUGGGCAUUGAAAUUGACAAAUGCGUGUUGGGGUUGGCUUCUGUCGUUGUUUUCUAUUCUAAAUGUAAAUUGAGGAUAUAAAAUAAUGGUAGAUGAAGCAGAUCCCAAACAAACUAAUGAAACUAUCCCCAAUCACACACAUUUCCUGAUGAUAAAACCCAUGUAGCUGUUUCACAAGAGAGACCCUAAACCUACUUUGACUUCCUCGCCGAGAGCAACCAUUCACCCUUCUAACCAACGCCUUUGAAUUCUUUCUUUAAUUAUCAAGCAAUUCCAUCUCCUUUGUUGAGGAGAUCGCAGAAUCCCCAGGAGGGAAAAACUUUUGUUUUGGUUCUGUCCCUCAGCAAAUUCUGGCUUUUACUCCUACUUAUGAUUUCAAGCACACCCAACAUCUUAUCAGCCUUAAAAACCCUCAAGUUUCGAUAUCAGUGACUUCUCCGCUGAAAAUUGAACAAACCCAGAUAGCUUUUUGGGGUUUCAAGAACACCCGGUUAGCGAUAUCUGAUUUGGUGUUUUAGGGAGCAUCCAAGAGUGAGUUUUCUGAUUCGGGUUUGUGGAUAUGAAUUUCAGAAGCAUGGAAGAGUUCUGGCCUUUCUAUGUCAAUCAGCACUCAAAACCAGCCACAAGGCGUUGGCAUUUCGUGGGCACACUUACUGGCAUCUUCUUCUUGUUUUACUCGGCCUUCUUCAAUUGGUGGUGUGUGUUCCUCGUGCCCUUGUUUGGUUAUGGCUUCGCCUGGUACAGUCAUUUCUUUGUGGAAGGAAACGUCCCCGCGACAUUUGGGCAUCCAAUUUGGUCUCUUCUAUGUGAUUUCAAGAUGUUCGGUUUGAUGCUUACUGGCCAAAUGGAUAAAGAGAUCAAAAGACUUGGAAAGAGGCCCGUCUUGCAAGUGUUUUGAUUCUUAUAUGAUACCAUGCAGAUAUUUUCCCAGCUGUCGCCUUGGUGGGAAACUGAAUGACGGCAAACGAUAGGAUUUAAAGGAGACUACCCUUUUCAAAAAUAUAACACAGGCCAGUUGCGACAACAAUUGCAAAUAAAGAAGAAAAGGAUGUUAAACGUGGGCUUUCUUCAAACGAACAAGCUUCUGCAAUGAAAAGAAUGGGGCAGGACAAUAAUUUGGAUUUGUUUGCAUCUAGGAAGCAAAUUCAAACUGUUAUCAAGUAGACCAAAACUCUUGGAAACCACUGCCAGUUGAAAUUUUCGAUCAUGAAAUGAUUUUCAAUCAGACAAAUGAGUUUAAUCCAGCUCAA